UAAAUAUGAUAUAAUAGUUAUCGUAGAAUAGUAAAAGACGGUGGCUCUAAAUUUCCAGAAGAGAGGUGAUGCCUAUGUAUGGUAUAACAAAGUCUAAUGGAAAGGAGGAGCUGUUUUGACAGCGUAUGAAGUGGUGCAAAUUAUUCUUGCUUUUGGUCAAAUCACCAUUGCACUUAUU
rnacentral:sRNA from 1 species